ACGAAUUCAUGGUCCGGUGAAGUGUUCGGAUCGAGGCGACGUGGGCGGUUCGCCGCCGACGACGUCGCGAGAAGUCCACUGAACCUUAUCAUUUAGAGGAAGGAGAAGUCGUAACAAGGUUUCCGCAGGUGAACCUGCGGAAGGAUCAUUG
rnacentral:rRNA from 1 species